UACGGGGGGGGGCAAGCGUUGUUCGGAAUUACUGGGCGUAAAGGGCUCGUAGGCGGCCAACUAAGUCGGACGUGAAAUCCCCAGGCUCAACCUGGGAACUGCGUCCGAUACUGGAUGGCUUGAAUCCGGGAGAGGGAUGCAGAAUUCCAGGUGUAGCGGUGAAAUGCGUAGAUAUCUGGAGGAACACCGGUGGCGAAGGCGGCAUCCUGGACCGGCAUUGACGCUGAGGCGCGAAAAGCCAGGGGAGCAAAGCGGG
rnacentral:rRNA from 1 species